GGUUAAAAAGCUCGUAGUUGGAUCUCGGCAAGUAGAGGGCGGUAUGCUUCGUAGCAUUACUGCCCUAUUACUUGUAGUUUUGCCAGAGGUUCCUGGGUGCUCUUAAUCGAGUGUCUAGGGAUGCUGGCAGGUUUACUUUGAAAAAAUUAGAGUGCUCAAAGCAGGCUAUUACGCUUGAAUAUUCGUGCAUGGAAUAAUAGAAUAGGAAGUUGUUUCUAUUUUGUUGGUUUUCGGAAAUCGACUUAAUGAUUAAUAGGGACAGUCGGGGGCAUUUGUAUUCAAACGACAGAGGUGAAAUUCUUGGACCGUUUGAAGACAAACUACUGCGAAAGCAUUUGCCAGAAUGUUUUCAUUAAUCAAGAACGAAAGUUAGAGGUUCGAAGGCGAUUAGAUACCGCCCUAGUUCUAACCAUAAACGAUGCCAGCUAGCGAUCUGAGGACGUUUUUUUUGUAGACUCCUCAGGAAGCUUCCGGGAAACCAAAGCGUGUGGGUUCCGGGGGAAGUAUGGUUGCAAAGCUGAAACUUAAAGGAAUUGACGGAAGGGCACCACCAGGAGUGGAGCCUGCGGCUUAAUUUGACUCAACACGGGAAAUCUCACCAGGCCCGGACACUGGAAGGAUUGACAGAUUGAGAGCUCUUUCUCGAU
rnacentral:rRNA from 1 species